GUCUAUGGUCAUAGCACCCUGAAAGCGCCGGAUCGCCUCUGAUCUCGGAAGCUAAGCGGGAUCAGGCCUGGUUACUAUGUGGAUGGGAGAUUAGAUUAGUUCAUUCCUUAAAAGCAAGGGCUCCGGAUU
ensembl:rRNA 5S_rRNA 5S ribosomal RNA